UACAGAGGGUGCUAGCGUUGUUCGGAAUUAUUGGGCGUAAAGGGCGCGUAGGCGGCCCUGUGUGUCGGGUGUGAAAGCCCACCUCUUAAAGGUGGAAUUGCAUUCGAAACUACAGGGCUGGAGUGUCGGAGAGGAUGGCGGAAUUCCUGGUGUAGAGGUGAAAUUCGUAGAUAUCAGGAGGAACACCGGUGGCGAGGGCGGCCAUCUGGACGACAACUGACGCUGAGGCGCGAAAGCGUGGGGAUCAAACAGG
rnacentral:rRNA from 1 species